rnacentral:rRNA from 1 species
GCUUGUCUCAAAGAUUAAGCCAUGCAUGUCUUAGUGUAAAUAACUCUUAUGAAACUGCGAAUGGCUCAUUAAAUCAGUUAUCGUUUAUUUGAUGGUCCCUUACUACAUGGAUAACCGUAGUAAUUCUAGAGCUAAUACAUGCGCAAAGUCCUGACUCGCGAGGGGAGGGAUGUAUUUAUUAGAUACAAAACCAAUGCGGGUUCUGCUCGCCAUUGUGUUGAAUCAUAGUAACUUAUCGAACGCCAUAGCCUUGUGCUGGGCGUAGAUCAUUCAAAUUUCUGCCCUAUCAGCUUUCGACGGUAGUGUAGUGGACUACCGUGGCGUUAACGGGUAACGGGGAAUUAGGGUUCGAUUCCGGAGAGGGAGCCUGAGAAACGGCUACCACAUCCAAGGAAGGCAGCAGG